rnacentral:lncRNA from 1 species
AAACAAGUGAUAAGAAGAACGGGGGUUGGAUAGACUGUCUAUAUGUAUAAGGUCCCAUUGUAAGUUAUGGGUCAAAACUCAAAUUUGCCAGACACAUAGUCUGGACAAAACUUAAAGAAACCCUUUGAAAUUUUAAGUUAUGGCACUAUAAAGAUAACGCAAAAUGACGUCAAAAUAGCCACCAGGAAAAGUUAACUCUUUCCUGGAUAGGUAUGUUUAGUGGGACAAGACUGCCCUCUAUAGACCAAAUAACUAAAUUGCGAUCUGGAAGAUAACCACACCUCUAGUGCUUCUAUUGGGUUAUCAACUGAUGACGUACAGAGAGUCUGGC